CCUGGGGCUGACGCCCCAGGCUAGGUGCUAUCGUGCCUCCGGCACU
rnacentral:sRNA from 1 species